GGUCCCAGGUCUCAGCAGCUCAGUGUCACUCCCAUUAGUAACAGUCUGAGCAGCUGAGAUAAGAACCAAGUCAGUACCAGCAACUGGGACAGAACCAACUACAAUCGGCCGCUCCCAGGGUGGCACUAACAAUAUGCUGGAGUGACCCAGAAGUGGAUCAGGACUUGAGCCCAUCAGUGAGCAGUGGAAUCAAUGGAAAUAAUCAGAUAAUAUUGAAGCAGUGGAGAAUCCUCGGAGGGACAGAGAUAUAAUAAUGAGAGGAGCAGCACAUACCAGUGCCGAGUGGAACUGAAGAAUCAACAAAAACAGAGAAAUAUUCUGCACUGACCCAUCCCAGAAAUGGGCCACAAACACUGGAGCAAAGUCAGGUUUAACCCCAUAUUUUAUACAAGUGGACACACCCAUACAUGGACCCAAUCCCUCCCAUUUCUAAGUAACUCCACCCCCAUUUGGCCAAGAAAUUUGUACUGUCCCAUCUAAACACAAACUAUAGGAAAUUAUACAGGAGGGGUGGAGCCAGAAACGGAUCCAUUAGAGAUUUAGAAGCAAAACCAACCUAAAAACUGAGACUGAGGAGCUGCCACCAGAGAGGGAGAUGGAUGAAAAUGCCCAGAGGGGGCAGGAGGGCAGGAGACAAUCCCAGGAACAUCAACAGGAGAUAAAGAUCCACCAACUGGAACAGAAGAUCAAUAAGACUGAGGAGAUGUGUAACAUGUGUGAUACAUUGUGUUCCUUACUGGCACAGGAAUCACAUGGAGCUGCACUGUGUGGGGCUGAGGGGGCACAUAAUGAGGGGGGCACAGAUGGGAUAAUGGCCCCUGGAUUGGCUCAUAUUGUGCUGGGUUUAAGGACACUGAUCUAUGGGCAGGAGGCUACAGACCUGUUACUGGAUAUAAACACGGCUCAUAAUCGUGUAUCUGUAUCAGGG